rnacentral:antisense_RNA from 1 species
GAGCUGUCCGGUAAUAGAAAGAAGCUGCAGAACCCUGUUGUCUUCAUCUUUUGUUUAACUCAUGCAACAUUUGAAAGCACAUUUGCCUACAAGAAAUAAAACUUACUUGUGAAAUGGCUUAUAAAUGAACUCAGAUGACAAGAAACCAAAACAGCAGGCCUGGCUGAAGCAUUCAUCCCUAGCCCUGAAAGCCAGCUGGGUCUUUCUGUAACAUCAAAGGCACAAACAAUUGAACCGACAUGGGAACUUAUUCUGUCCAGCAGCCCUGGUGCCCACAGACCAUCCGAAGCAAGGGUAACCUACCAGAAAGCUACUAGAUGUUCCCCGCUACAGUGAAGGAUUAAACAAAGAAUGAAGAAGAAGUAGGACUCGAGAAGUAAAUGAACCAACUCAAGAAAGAGAUGACCAAGUGGAAUACCUUUUAAAGGCUUCCAGACUUUUCUUUCCCACUCCUCCCUGUCCACUCGAGGGAGGCUCCAUUUUAAAAUGUAACAGAAAACAACGGAUUUGAAAUAAGGCAUUAGCCUGAGGUAACUCACCCCCACCUUGGCUCCAGAGCAGCUUGGAUUUCCGAUUCUUUGAGCAGGUCCGUGAUUUGGGGAACCAGUUAAAGAGCCGGGCUAUUCUUCUGAAGGUCUCGUGAAAGUCACUUCUUAUGGCCAUAGCGAGAACCAGGAGUGUUCCAGAAUGACUCGAUACAGAG